UGUCUCUUCGGAGGCUCUAUGGUCAAUUCGUAAAAAUACAGAGAAGAUUAGCAUGGCCCCUGGACUAAGGAUGACACAUUCGAAUCAAGAGAAGCUAGACUUUUUU
rnacentral:snRNA from 1 species